UACAGAGGUCUCAGGCGUUGUUCGGAUUCAUUGGGCGUAAAGGGUGCGUAGGCGGCGCGGUAAGUCGGGUGUGAAAUUUCGAGGCUUAACUUCGAAACUGCAUUCGAUACUGCCGUGCUUGAGGACUGGAGAGGAGACUGGAAUUUACGGUGUAGCGGUGAAAUGCGUAGAUAUCGUAAGGAAGACCAGUGGCGAAGGCGGGUCUCUGGACAGUUCCUGACGCUGAGGCACGAAGGCCAGGGGAGCAAACGGG
rnacentral:rRNA from 1 species